CUUCUCCAUAAUACAAUAUAAAGUUACAAUAAUAGUAUAAUAUAAUGGACAUGCAUAUAAAACAAACAGUUUAUACAAUAUAAUACUAGCUUUCAUAGGUGAACAAAGAGGAGAGAAAGUAAAAAGAGAAAAAGAAAGUUUGAAAAGUCGUAUAAUUCUGUGACGAUGACUUGUGAAUUGAUGACAACGAUGACGUUCCGUGUCAGUAAUAAUAACGCUCUAUCAAGGCAUAAGAAAUCUGUUUGACCUUUUUAUGAAAUUUUGAACAUGUUUGAAAAUUUGAAUAUUUUGUUCGUUCGAAAGUUCCAAGUGUCCGCAAAUUAAUAGUUUUGUAUCUAAAACAAAGUUUUCAGAUAGCCAGUUAAGGUUAUGGAAUAAGGUUUUUCUACAUAAUGUGUAUUUUGGGCAAACGAAGAAGUAAUGGUAGACAUCCUCAAUAUCGGACCCACAAUGGCAAGAAGGAUCAUCUAUAAUAUUAGCUCUAAAUAGGUCAUUGUUUAAGAAUGAAGCGGAACAUCGCAAUUGCGUUAAGAUAAUAUUUAAUUUCCUUGGGCCGUACAAAUAAAACGUUUCAAUUUUACAUAAUAGACUAUCGUUUUUUAAUUCUUUCUUAAAUUUAGAAAUAGAGUCGACACUGCGAAUUUUUGGAUCAAGUUUAUUCCAUUCACGUAUAGUAGAGGGAAUAAACGAUUCAGUAGUAAGGGAAAGUCUACAAAAUGGAACAAUAAUAUCAUGACCAUUUCGCAACGGGUAGUUGGUUGUACUUUGUACACAAGGAGGUACAAGAUUACAUAGAUAUUCUGGUGCAUGCUUUUGGUUCAUGUUAUAAAACAUCUGUAAUUUUCUUCUCCUUCUUCUUUCAAAAAGAGAUUCCCAGCCAACCUCAGAAUAUAAAGUUUCAGUUUUUGUAAAUAUUGGUAGACCUGUUACUAUUCUUGCGGCCUCUAAUUGCAAAUUUUCUAAUUUAUGUGAGUAGCCUAUUCCACAAUUAUCCCACACUUCCGUGGCAUAUUCAAAAAUGGGUCGAAUAAAAACUAAGUAUAGUUUUUCUAAAUUAUUUCGAGAUAAUCGGUAUUUAAGUUUACGUAAAACAUUUAAGUGUUUCUUUACACUUGUAAUUAUACUUUCAAUAUGAUUGUUCCAUUUUGCGUCACUACUGAAAUUAACUCCCAGGUGCUUAUGAGAUGUACUUAAAGGUAUAUUUUUACCAUUUAAGGAAAAGCUAAGGUCUGGAGUCUCAAUAUUUGAAAAAAUCAUAAUUUCGGUUUUAUCUGGGUUAAAUGACAUAAGCCAUUUAGAAGACCAAACAUCCAGCUCUUUCAAGUCGCGAUCGAUAACAGAUUUAAUCUGUUCUCCGUCGUUACCAGAAUAAUUGAAUGAUGUGUCGUCAGCAAAUAGCCGACACAGUGAAGUAAGCUUAUCAGCAAUAUCAUUAAUAUAUAAGACAAAGAGAAGAGGGCCCAGAACUGAUCCCUGGGGAACACCAGCUGAGACAUUACAGAAGGAAGAAGACGAGUUAUUUAAUACUACUCUCUGUUUUCUGUCGUGUAGAUAAUCCUGAAACCAAUUCAAUACGUUUCCGUCAACACCAUAAGCUUUCAUUUUACAUAUAAGACCCCUAUGCCAAA
rnacentral:lncRNA from 1 species